UUCAACGAGCCCGAAAGCGUACAAACUUUUACGGAGAAACAACUUUCCUCUUCCAGGUGUGCACACUCUGCAAUGGUGGUCAAAGAAAAUUGACGUAGCUCUAGGUGUCAUAGAGCCGGUGAUGAAACUUUUGAAGGUAGCAACUGAGCUAACACAAGCGCAAAAAAUUUGUGUACUCAGUUUUGACGGCAUGAAGGUCAGAAGGAGUUACUGUUACGAUAGAUCCACUGAUUCGACAUUGCCUCCUGUUAACUACGUUCAGGUUGCAAUGAUAAGAGUAAAUGGAAACAGCUUGUGUUCUUCGAAUAUGACUGCAAAAUGACGAAGGAAGUACUAUUUAGCAUUUUGUCAAGCGUUAAAAAGUGCGGUUACAAUAUUGUUGCCAUUGUAAGCGAUUUGGGUGGAUCAAAUAGAGGCUUAUAUGUAUAAUGAUCUUGAAAUUAAUGUGGAAAAACCGUUGUACAUUCACUAAACAAUUAUUUAAAUUAUGAUAUACUUUAAAUUGUGUUCUUUUUUUUCUAUUGCAGGUUUUCACACAACGGAGACAGGAUUGUAGUUUUUGCUGAUGUCCCCCACUUAAUAAAACUACAGAGAAAUCAUUUUUUGGAUAAAGGCUUUACUAUCAAUGGAAAAAUUGUUAGAAAAGACAUUAUUCUGAAGCUGCUCUCGCUUACGUCCAACGAGCUGUCCAUCACGCACAAAAUUUCCCAGAAGCAUUUGUCUGUAACAGGAACUGAAAGGCAAAAGGUUAAACUAGCCACAAAAUUGUUCUCCCACACAAUUGCUCAAGCAAUAACUCGAGCGGCUAGUUUAGGUCUACUAGAUAACGAAAAUUGGGAGGAAUGCCAUCGACUUUUCAAAAUUACAAAUGACUGGUUUGAUCUAAUGAAUGUCAGGGUGCCCAAAGUUGGAGUGAGGGAACGGUUU